UACAGAGGUCUCAAGCGUUGUUCGGAUUCAUUGGGCGUAAAGGGUGCGUAGGUGGCGCUGUAAGUCGGGCGUGAAAUUUCGGAGCUUAACUCCGAAACUGCAUUCGAUACUGCCGUGCUUGAGGACUGGAGAGGAGACUGGAAUUUACGGUGUAGCGGUGAAAUGCGUAGAUAUCGGAAGGAAGACCAGUGGCGAAGGCGGGUCUCUGGACAGUUCCUGACGCUGAGGCACGAAGGCCAGGGGAGCAAACGGG
rnacentral:rRNA from 1 species